rnacentral:rRNA from 1 species
AUUGAACGCUGGCGGCAGGCCUAACACAUGCAAGUCGAGCGGCGCGGCGGACGGGUGAGUAACGCCUAGGAAUCUGCCUGGUCGUGGGGGAUAACGUCCGGAACCGGGCGCUAAUACCGCAUACUAUCAGAUGAGCCUAGGUCGGAUUAGAGAGUUGGUGGGGUAAAGGCCUACCAAGGCGACGAUCCGUAACUGGUCUGAGAGGAUGAUCAGUCACACUGGAACUGAGACACGGUCCAGACUCCUACGGGAGGCAGCAGUGGGGAAUAUUGGACAAUGGGCGAAAGCCUGAUGCAGCCAUGCCGCGUGUGUGAAGAAGGUCUUCGGGUUGUAAAGCACUUUAAGCUGGGAGGCGUUACCAACAGAAGAAGCACCGGCUAACUUCGUGCCAGCAGCCGCGGUAAUUC